rnacentral:rRNA from 1 species
AACUAACGCUGGCGGCGUGCCUAACACAUGCAAGUCGUACGAGAAAGUUGGCUUCGGCCGAUGAGUAAAGUGGCGCACGGGUGAGUAACGCGUGGAUAAUCUGCCCUUCAGUUGGGAAUAACGUACCGAAAGGUGCGCUAAUACCGAAUAAUACUGCACAUCUUCUGUUGUCCAGUCAAAGAUGGCCUCUGCUUGCAAGCUUUCGCUGUAGGUUGAGUCCGCGUACCAUUAGCUAGUUGGUAGGGUAAUGGCCUACCAAGGCAACGAUGGAUAGCUGGUCUGAGAGGAUGAUCAGCCACACUGGAACUGAGACACGGUCCAGACUCCUACGGGAGGCAGCAGUGAGGAAUAUUGCGCAAUGGGGGAAACCCUGACGCAGCAACGCCGCGUGAGUGAGGAAGGUUUUCGGACCGUAAAGCUCUGUCGAGCGGGAAGAAAUGAAUGGUGGCUAAUAUCCAUCAUACUUGACGGUACCGCUAAAGGAAGCACCGGCUAACUCCGUGCCAGCCGCCGCAGUAACAC